rnacentral:tRNA from 1 species
GCCUGGGUGCCUCAGUCGGUUGAGUGUCCGACUUUGGCUCAGGUCAUGAUCUCCUGGUUCGUGGGUUCUAGCCCCACAUCAGGCU